CGCCCAAUUCCCCCAAUAUUCAUAUGUUCCCUCCAAGUGCCAUUCACUUUCCCCAAUCUCCAUCUUCUCAGAAAUCCCGCCCUCUCCAUCCAUUCCCUGAAGACGUGGAGUCGAGCUACCCUUCUCUCCGGUCUCUUUCAUCUCCAUCGAUGAUGACCGAUCCACUCUCCAAGUCGCCGCUAACGUUCUCCUCACCCGCGCCAUAUCCACCUUCCUCUUCCGCUUCUCCCGUCGCCGAGCAAAGUGCCAAAGAACUGGAAACUUCAAAUCACACCCUAAUUUCGUCUCCACUGAAACUGCUAUUGAGAAGAAGGUUGUGAUCAUCAAAAUUGGCAUCAGAGGGAGGUAGUUGUUGUUAAUUGUUACUUUUUGGUUGUUUGGUUGUGAAAAACUUUGUAUUAUUACUGUCAUUUUGCAGAUGCUAUGUACAAUAUGCUCAAGUUUGAAAUGGUAAUUCUGAUGUAUGAACUUGCUUUUCACAUUAAUUUCCAUUGUGCAUUUGUGUGUAACAAUCUUGGAGUUAUUUAUAAAGACCGAACAACCUUGAUAAAGAUGUAGAGUCUCAUCAGAUUUUUGUUCUUUUGGUGUUGGCUUCGUCAAAUAAUCCAAGUGUCUCACAAUUGUUGAACAACGUUGGAGUCCUCUACACAGUGCAAGUAUAAUUUAAUCAAUCAACAUCUAAUAGAACAAUAUCGUUCAACUAUCGCUUUUAGAAUUGUAGAUUAAUAUAUAGGGCAAAAUGGAUGUUGCUGCUAGCAUGAUAAAGAUAGAGAUUGUGGUGAAUCCUACUUAUGCAGAAGCCUAAAAUAACUUAGGCAAUUUCUACGGUUCCGAUUGCAAGUAUGAAUUGAAGACGUCAAGACAUUGGUUCAUGAAGUUAUUGUAUAUCACUUUCAUAUGUAGAGAUAUAUGUAUUUGUGUUAUUGAAACUUUUGUAAUUUUGUUUUACUUUAAAUCCUUUGUAAUUUACAUUCUUGGGUUAUUUUAUAUUGGUUUUAGUUUAA